rnacentral:rRNA from 1 species
AUUGAACGCUGGCGGCAGGCCUAACACAUGCAAGUAGAACGAGUGGCGGACGGGUGAGUAAUGUCGGGGACACUGCCUGAUGGAGGGGGAUAACUACUGGAAACGGUAGCUAAUACCGCAUAGCAUCAGAUUUGCCCAGAUGGGAUUAGCUUGUUGGUGGGGUAACGGAUCACCAAGACGACGAUCCCUAGCUGGUCUGAGAGGAUGACCAGCCACACUGGAACUGAGACACGGUCCAGAAUCCUACGGAAGUCAGCAGUGGGGAAUAUUGGACAAUGGGCGCAAGCCUGAUGAAGCCAUGCCGCGUGUAGGAAGAGGGCCUUCGGGUUGUAAAGUACUUUCAGCGUGGAGGCGUUACCCGCAGAAGAAGCACCGGCUAACUCCGUGCCAGCAGCCGCGGUAAUUC